rnacentral:lncRNA from 1 species
CACUGGGCUGUCCCUGGUUACCAGGGCAACAGAAGCAGUGAUGAAAAUCAUGCCUUUCGUUCAGUGGAAAAAUCUGGCUCCUCCUCCCGCCUCUUCCUUCUCUAAUCGCCUGCAACCUAUUGGGAGGGUAGUGGCUCCAGGGAUCAGAGACCCCAGUGUGUCUCUCUCAGGCCCCCCCUUCCCCGUUUUUUGUCAUCGUCCGCCUUCCUGCAUCCCCUCUUUCCCCCAGAGCUCGGUAAUUGGCAGUUGCGUAGGAGUUGGACUUCGUGGAGGGGGAAGGGUGCGGACGUCAUCGCAGGGCAGGGCGAGCCGAGCGUGGGCAGAGAUGUGGAUGCGGGAAGCCACGGGCACACGAGGAGGGUCAGACAAUGGAAAACCUGCAGAGCCUGGCGUCUGGGCCCGUGGUGGUGGGAAGAGGAGGCUCAGGUGUCUGGGGUGGUCAUGGCUCCUGCCGCGAGCUAGGAUUCAUUCAUUGCGCACUUUUUUAGGGGUGUCUGCCAUGUUAGGUAAGGUUCUGGGAGCUGGGAAGACGCAGGUAAGUAAGCUGGGCCUUGACCUUGAAGAGAUUGUGGGAGAUGGGAGGAGGACGGGCAUGUGGGGAAAGAGCAGCUGGCAUUGUGACCAGCCUAGAAUCUGGGGCCCCGGGCAGGAGAUGGGCCACAUUCCCGCCCGGAGGUGAUGGAUUAAGGUGGGGCCUGUGGGAAUUCGGAGGAGGAGGAGGUAGUCAGAGAGCCCCUUUGGCUUGGAGACAGGACAUGGGGGAGAGAAGGUGCUGACAUCUUGAGCCUUAAUGAUUGACAGAAACAGAAAAGUCAGGGUUCAGACUUGUUCGGGGAGUCAUGCUUGCUUUGCUUUUUUAGACGGGUUGCCAUCAAGACAAUGGCAGGGUAUCUGGAUGGAAACGUUACAGUCAGGCAGGUAAAGUUUGCCGUGGACCUGGGCGCUGGGAGGAGAUCUGGAGGAGACUGUGUUGUGAGGUCUGGGAGGCGCGUGGUUGCCGAGACGGUGCGGGGACAGGGAUCCCAGGGCCUGGGGCAUCGGCCUGGAAGGGGGUCAGCUUCUGUACCUCGUGCUUGUGGAUCAGCCCAGGGCGCGCCCAGACUGCCGGACCAGUUUCUGCUAAUGAGCACCCACGUCUUCCCCCCACCCACACCCCGUUCUGAAGCUGAGGUUUCUGUUUAGGUCUUCUUCUCCCUGGUAACGACCUUUGGGAGGGGAUGUCCUGGAAAGAUAGAGCCACACACUUAACCGCUCCGAGCUCUCGGUCUUGACCUUGGUGCUAUCAUUUGCUUAUCAGUUCCUGAGCGGUCGGAGACGUGCUGUCGCGACACAUGCCCUGGGUCCUCAGCCUCCACCAGCAAGGCUGCUUGUUCUGAUGCCUUUCCAGUCAUCUUUCUAGAGGAAAAAGAGCACUGCCCAGAAUCAGGAAGCCUUGGGCAGCUACAUGAUCCCGGGCAAGUGGCUGCUUUUUCCAAGCCUUCGUGCCUGGCCGAAGAUGCGCAUUUCUUCCCCUUUUCCCAGGUCUCUGCGGCAGACUAGGCUUUUGAAGCUAGCAGCCCCGCUCGUGGGAGGGAAUAGCAGGAAUGGGGGUCCCCCGAGCACACCCCGCUCUCCAGAGUGGGUAGCAGCCUCCCAGAGGGAGGGUGGCCUCCGUUCCUCUUGGGAGCUUGGACAUACUAGACGAGUAGGUUGUCCCAGGGACCAGGAGUUGGCAGACGGUAGCCCAUGGGCUGGCCGCCUUCUUUGGUAAAUAAAGUUUUAUUGGGACAGAGAUGCGUACACUGUUUGUCGUGUCGUCUGUGGCCGCUGGAGGUGGCACGACCUACAAGCCGAAAGGAUUUACUGGCUCACCUUUCGAGAAAGAAAUGGCCAACCCUGGCCCUAGACCACCAGGAAAGAGCUCGGACCUCCACUGGGGAUGCUCGUGAGGCCGUUUCGGCUUCCUAGGGCUCUUGCAGCUUCUGCCUCGGGGGCCUUCCUUUGCGAUCCCAAGCAAGGAUGACGUGGCAGUUUUUAGAGUCAGCCCACAGAGAGUAGUGCGGCCGCUGGGAAGUCUGCUGCGUUUUCGUCCCUGUCCCUGCAGCCUGGAGGGCGUCCAUUCCAGCCCUCUCCCCUCUCCCCACCCACACACUCGAACUUCUUCGUGUCCGGGACCCUGAAUUCGUCACUGGGGAUGGCUCGUGGCCUUGGGGCGACAAGCUGCCCUUCCUCUUCUUCCCAGGCCAUGCGGGGGAGAACGGACCAACCCAAACCCAGUGUCUGGUGAGGAGAAGGGGCGCCUCACUGGUUCUGCCAAGUCCCGCAGCACGUGUCCCUUGAUAGCUUUGCUGUGUCACUUCCGGCUUCACUGUGCCCUUUAGUUCCAAGGCCCUGGAGAUGCGCCUGCAAAGAGGGUUUGUCUGCCUGAACUUGGCACUCCUCCACGGUCGGAACCAGGCCCCGUGGCUUGGGGUUUGGGGAGUGUGUGUCUGUGUUGGCAGGGGCUGGAGUUGGCACUCAGGAGCCCUGCGUCAGCCCUUACCGAGUCCCCUUGUGUUCUGGUUCCCACCUGGUUUGAUGUGGUCCUCAAACUGGAGUCUCAGUGAAACUCCUGGCUGGGAGCAGGGUGAAUUUCAAGAUCUUGCUUUUACAAAACAGAAGCACCAGAGCAGAUGGGUCACUUCAGCUCAGGGCUGAGAUAGGAAGUGAGACACUGGUGGCAAGAGGAACCCGCGUGCUCAGAGCAGUAUGGGGGGGGGGGCGCAGAUGACUGAGGUUUAUUCCCAUUGCAGCUGGAAGGGAGGAGGCUGGCAGUGGGAGGAGGGAGCAGACGACCCAGAAUAGCAAAGAAGACAGAAGCUCAGCACACCCAGAGCUGCUUUUAGCUGGGCCUGGUAAGCCUGGCUCUAGGAGCCUUACUUCUCACCUCCCUACACACAUUUUUCCCAGAGGCCAGGUUUCUGAGUGUUCUCAUAAAAAAAAAAAAAAAAAAAAAAAAAAAAG